rnacentral:rRNA from 1 species
AUUGAACGCUGGCGGCAGGCUUAACACAUGCAAGUCGAGCGGAGCGAGGGUGCUUGCACCUUAGCUUAGCGGCGGACGGGUGAGUAAUGCUUAGGAAUCUGCCUACUAGUGGGGGACAACAUUCCGAAAGGAAUGCUAAUACCGCAUACGCCCUACGGGGAAAGCAGGGGAUCUUCGGACCUUGCGCUAAUAGAUGAGCCUAAGUCGGAUUAGCUAGUUGGUGGGGUAAAGGCCUACCAAGGCGACGAUCUGUAGCGGGUCUGAGAGGAUGAUGCGCCACACUGGGACUGAGACACGGCCCAGACUCCUACGGGAGGCAGCAGUGGGGAAUAUUGGACAAUGGGGGGAACCCUGAUCCAGCCAUGCCGCGUGUGUGAAGAAGGCCUUAUGGUUGUAAAGCACUUUAAGCGAGGAGGAGGCUACUUUAGUUAAUACCUAGAGAUAGUGGACGUUACUCGCAGAAUAAGCACCGGCUAACUCUGUGCCAGCCGCCGCGGUAA